rnacentral:lncRNA from 1 species
UAUCGAGUCAAAAUUGUGUCUUUUAUUGAGUCAAAAUUGUUUGAGAACUAUGAUCUUUUCUUGGGGAAUUGCACUUUGUUUGAUUUCAUUGCCUUGGGACCAUUUUAGCACUAUUCGAUAACUUGGAAGUUCAGGAAAAUCCAUCACUUGAUCACUCUAUAGUAGUCCCUAUCUCUUUGAAAUUUGGAUGAAUUGAGCUUAAUCUUAUAUACUUGAACUUAAUAUGGACUUAAUUUGUCUCACUUAGGGGCUUGAGAAUCAUGUAAUGGAUCAUACAUUCAGAGUUUUGUUCGCAUCAUUUUUACCACUCUUUGCUAACUCUGAAUGGCUAGACUCAUUUUUAGUCUAGUACCGCACCUGUUUCCCCACCCAUUGUUUGAAACCUCAUGCAUUCUUAUAUGAUCAUCAUGAUAUGCAUCCAUGUGCGAAAACUACGGAGUAUACGGACCGACA